GUCAUUCCCAGUCUUAACAAUUUUUCCGUAGGUGAACCUGCGGAAGGAUCAUUCAUAAUAAGUGUUUUAUGGCACUUUUUUAAAUCCAUAUCCACCUUGUGUGCAAUGUCAGGGUUGAUUUUUCUCUCGAGAGGAUCAACCCCAAACAUCAACUAUAUCUCAACUCUUUGUCUGAAAAAUAUUAUGAAUAAAACAAUUCAAAAUACAACUUUCAACAACGGAUCUCUUGGCUCUC
rnacentral:misc_RNA from 1 species